rnacentral:rRNA from 1 species
AACGAACGCUGGCGGCAGGCUUAACACAUGCAAGUCGAACGAACACUUCGGAGUUAGUGGCGGACGGGUGAGUAAGACGUGGGAACGUGUAGGAUAGCUCGGAAUAACUCAGGGAAACUUGUGCUAAUACCGAAUGUGUACUCCGGGGGAAAGAUUCAUCGCCAUUAAAGCGGCCCGCUCCUGAGUAGCUAGAUGGUGAGGUAACGGCUCACCAAGGUGACGAUCAGUAGGUGGUCUGAGAGGAUGACCAGCCACACUGGGACUGAGACCCGGCCCAGACACCUCCGGGAGGCAGCGGUGGGGAAUCUUCCGCAAUGGGCGAAGGCCUGACGCAGCCAUGCCGCGUAAAUGAUGAAGGUCUUAGGAUUGUAAAAUUCUUUCGCGGGGGACAAUAAUGACGGUACCCGGAGAAGAAGCCCCGGCUAACUUCGUG